GUAUUUUAACUGUGCUAAGGUAGCAUAAUCAUUUGUCUUUUAAUUGAGGGCUGGAAUGAAGGGUUGGACGAGGUAUUAGCUUUCUUUAAUUUAAUUUGAAGAAUUUAAUUUUUGAGUUAAAAAGCUUAAAUUUAUUUAUGGGACGAGAAGACCCUAUAGAUCUUUAUAGUUUUAUAUUUUAAUAAUUUGGGGAUUUAUAUAUUUUAAGUAAAUGAACUAUUUUGUUGGGGUGACUGUAGAAUUUUAAUAACUUCUAUUUUGUAUUUUCAUUAAUUAAUGUUUUUGUGAUCCAUAAUUUAUGAUUAGAAGAUUAAGUUACCUUAGGGAUAACAGCGUAAUUUCCUCGGAGAGUUCAUAUUGAUGAGGGAGUUUGCGACCUCGAUGUUGGAUUAAAAUAAGUUAU
rnacentral:rRNA from 1 species